rnacentral:snoRNA from 1 species
GCCCUCCCGAAUCCUUACCCAUCAGAUCUGAGUACCCGUCUGAGGGGCCAGAAAGGGAGGAGAAGUAACACGGAGUGGCCUUGGUGUCCCUAAUGACAUAAACAUCUCAUCUCAAACAAAA